AUUGCAGGUAUAAAUAUAACGCUGCAGGAAGGAUGCACUGAACAGACUACUCUAGAAUGUCUUCAAAAUCUUCUUGAGCAGAUCGAGAACGUCACAGCUCAAGAGCUUCCUGUGAAUACUGUGAUGGACAUUUUGAAUAUGGUCUUCAACACUGUAGAGAAGAUUUUAGAGUCAUUAUCAUCAGCAAGCCGAGCUGAACUAGCCUCCUAUGGAAACCGUGUGGUUAAAGCCAGUGAAAAACUCAUUUCUACAUUAGUGAAGCCGACAGACACAAAUGACAGUGUCAGUUUUGCUCUCGCUG